UUUUAAACCCGACCGAAAUGGAAAUACUUUUUCCGUUACCAUCGUCAAAUUUUGCUAUGCCCUUAGAAAUUAAAGACAAAUUUGCAUUACUGCACAACAGAAGUUGAAAAAGAUUGUAAUAAAGGGCGGGAGCGCUG
rnacentral:sRNA from 1 species